CAUCACUAAUAUGAACAGCUGAACAACAAUAAUCAUAUUUGGUUAAAAACAAUUAUGCGAAUAAACGCAGCCGCCUUAUAGCGCCCGUGCCACGCCCCCUGCGAUGCGAACAGGCGACCACGCCAAGGUGUCGCCACGAAUCCAGCAAGCAAGGAGAACCCAAGCCAAGAGUCCGGAGUCCCCAGUACGGAACACCCAGAAAUUCCGGGCAGAAACACAAUAAAAACAUGUCUACGGAGGAGCAUGUGUGGCGAGCGCACGUCGUGCGGCGUUUACGCGAGCGGAAUCGCAAGGAGUGCGACAACUUCAAGGAGAUCAUCGAGCAAAACAACCGACUGAUUGACCAUGUGGCGCAGCUCAAGGCGGACAACCUGAAGAUCUCCGUCGAAAACGAGCAGCUCCGCAACGCGGUGUCAACAGGUGGCACCGGCUCCAACGUGGCCAUCGCCACCCUCGAAAAAAAGCUGCUCAGCCAGCAGGAGGAGCUCACCGAGCUGCACAAGCGCAAGGGCGAGAACUCCCAGAUGAUCGUGGACCUCAACCAGAAAGUCGAGCAACAGAGGAUCAUCAUUUCCGAGAAGGAGCACAGCCUCGUCGAACAGCAAACGAACAACAACCGAUUGCGCGCGGAAGUGCAGCUACUUCACUCGAGUUUGGAGGAACUCAAGAAACUGAACAACACCAUGUUGGAUGAGCAUACAGCGCUUCAAUUGGCAUUUAGCUCCCUCGAAGAAAAGAUGAGAGGAGUGCAAGAUGAAAAUCGACGUCUCCUGGAGCGACUUAUGCAAUACAAGUCAAAGGAUGCCGACAAGUUGAACGAGGAAAACGAGAGCAUAAUAAGAAAAAGACUGCCGUCAAUUUUCAGGAAACGUUCGGCUAAACUGAAACGUGACCUAGAAGACGCGGUCCGUGAGCCCAGCUCGUCCAGCAACACCGCCUCCUCGCCCGGCGCCGCAUCCUUGCAGCGCAACUCCAGUCCCGCCCAGUUCGUUGGCGGCCUCAUCGGUGACGAGGACUUCGACGAGGCCGCAAUAAAUGGCGCCAUGGAAGCCAUAGGUCUCGAUGAUAAUGAAUAUAUUAGCGCUCGUUUUACAGCAGGAGGCGAUAUAGCCGAGAACUCCCGGGCUUCCAUUGACACCCUAAAGGCCACCGGCUACCUGGGUCAGGCCAAUCCCACCAAGAUCCUCAUGAAGUUCGAGGCACACGAGAACGAGUCGCAUGCGGUGCGCUGGAGUCCCGUGGAGCGCAUGGUGGCCACCGGUGGCGCUGAUCGCAAAGUCAAACUUUGGGAUAUUGGCAAAAAUUCCACUGAACCACGCGCAGUUCUCAGCGGAAGCAGUGCUGGGAUUAACUCCGUGGAUUUCGAUUCAACAGGCGCCUACAUCUUGGGCACCUCGAAUGACUACGGAGCCAGAGUAUGGACAGUGAUGGACAAUCGCUUAAGACACACGCUGACGGGUCACAGUGGCAAGGUAAUGGCCGCCAAAUACGUCCAGGAGCCCAUCAAAGUGGUGACCGGAAGCCACGAUCGCACACUAAAGAUCUGGGAUCUGCGCAGCAUCGCUUGCAUAGAGACAAAGUUUGCCGGCUCCAGUUGCAAUGAUCUCGUCACCACCGACAGCCUUGGAUCGACGAUCAUCAGUGGGCACUACGAUAAGAAGAUCCGGUUCUGGGAUAUACGCACGGAGAAGCAGGCGGACGACGUCUUGAUGCCGGCCAAGAUCACCUCACUGGAUUUGUCAAAAGAUUGCAAUUACCUCAUAUGCUCUGUAAGAGACGAUACUAUUAAACUGUUAGAUUUACGCAAGAACCAAGUUAUAUCCACGUUCACAAACGAACACUUUAAAAUCAGCUGUGAUUUUGCUCGGGCCUCUUUCAACUCGAGCGGCCUGAAGAUUGCGUGCGGAUCGGCGGAUGGCGCUAUAUACAUUUGGAAUGUGAAUGGUUUCCUAGAAGCCACACUCAAGGGUCACAGCACCGCCGUAAACGCGGUCAGUUGGAGUCCCAACAACAACAUGCUGGCCUCCGUGGGAAAGAACAAGCGCUGCACCAUCUACUCGGAAUCAUAGCCCUAAUGUUGCCAUACUACACACGUCAUUCGAGUCAGUCGGUUGCAAUUGCAAUCAGAAUCAGAAUCAGUUGUUGCAAUUCCGAAACUGAAACGCUUAAAUCUGCAGUCACUGCAAUCACAACGGCCAUGCGGAUGCUGCUGUAAAUAGUAAAUUCGGUUGGCGAGCGGUCGGCGUACGUCUAGAGCCGAAAUUUUAAUAACUUUACUUGAUUAUUUUAUUUAUACUUGAAUCGGAUAUAGUACGCAAAUUGUAUCAAUUCAUAUAGCAGUAGUCAUUAUGCCUGCAAACAAACACAACAAACAAAAAAAAAACAACUACCACUACUGCGGCGUUAAGUACCGCCAGCGAUCUGAAAUCUUGUGGCGCUCCUAAGUGCUGCCACCACUCAAGGUAGUGUCGUUGAAGGCGCAUAGCUAAGUAAAUUAAUUGAGAGUCGAGGAGAGGAAUCCACUCGCCUGGAGGAGCCAACCCAUCCCCAGUCCAUCCAGCCCUGCCAGCUCAGUCCAGCCGAGCAGAGUCGUCCAGAGUGACGGGCAGACGUUUGGACUUGGACAGGAGUCACUUUCCCGUAUGCGAGAGCGCUCCUCCAGCUCCUCCAGCUCCACCAGCUCCACCAGCUAAAGAUAAAGAUACAAAUCUGCACGAAGCCUGUUUCCUGUUCUGCUGAGGGUGCAUUUAUUUGCAUGAUUCACAUUCACACACAACACAACCGGUGUGUGCCUAACGAUACUUAUACAGCUGCUGGAUCUUCGUACAGGUGUACCCCAUCACCAUCGCCAUCACCACACUAUGCACUCCAUAUGCUGUGCACUCCAUGCUCCAUACUGCAUACUCCAUACUCCAUACUCCAUGCGCCAUAAUGAAGACGGGAAGACGUCGAGUCGCUGGGAAAAGUUGGGGCAACAAGCACGACAUUUGGACCUUUCUGCCCACAUCGAAAAGUGAAUCGCUGGCUUUCCUGCCCCGCCGAGGAUCGGGACUUGGAACUUGGAAGUCGGGAGUCGAGACUCGUGCAUUUUGGGCGACUCUAAGUGAGCAUGUUCCUGGAAGCCCUCGACUCGCGUUUACAGUUGGAUGCAUUUUCAGUGCCAUUGAAGUAUAAAUAAUAAUAAUAAUUCGCAGGUGUCUGCAUUCCACGUCCAAUUCGCACAAUUCGUUAUGCGUGGGUAAAAUGCUAAGAUGGCAGUUGGACUCCCAGGCCAGCUCAUCUCCUCAUCCAUUCCCAUUCAUACGAGCAUAUGUAUAUAAAGCUGAUUUCCAUAUAUGAAAGCCAAAUUUCAGAGAAGUUUAUUGCAUGAGCAAUUUGUCCACUAAAAAGAAGUAGAUGAGCCGAUGGAGUAGCACCCCCGAAAUAAGCAAACAGCAUGGGUAUUUCAUUAAA